GAUCUGACAAAAGCAAGCUAAGAAUGGAAGGGGCUGCUCUGGCACACUCCCUCUUGCUGAAAAACUCAUGGCACCAAACUCAUGGCACCAAACAUUUUGUGUGUAGGCUGUCUUUGUCCACACCCUUUUGUACGUGGCAGUUCACGUCAUGGUUCACUCACUCGAGUAGUUACUGGGCUCUGGAGGCUGAGACAGGACACUCCCAAAGGCUUGCUCACGAGCAGUCUAGCUGAAUCAGAGAGCUCCAAGCUCACAAAAGUGGA